rnacentral:rRNA from 1 species
GAUGAACGCUGGCGGCGUGCCUAAUACAUGCAAGUCGAGCGAACAGACGAGGAGCUUGCUCCUCUGACGUUAGCGGCGGACGGGUGAGUAACACGUGGAUAACCUACCUAUAAGACUGGGAUAACUUCGGGAAACCGGAGCUAAUACCGGAUAAUAUAUUGAACCGCAUGGUUCAAUAGUGAAAGACGGUUUUGCUGUCACUUAUAGAUGGAUCCGCGCCGCAUUAGCUAGUUGGUAAGGUAACGGCUUACCAAGGCAACGAUGCGUAGCCGACCUGAGAGGGUGAUCGGCCACACUGGAACUGAGACACGGUCCAGACUCCUACGGGAGGCAGCAGUAGGGAAUCUUCCGCAAAGGGCGAAAGCCUGACGGAGCAACGCCGCGUGGGUGAUGAAGGUCUUCGGAUCGUAAAACUCUGUUAUUAGGGAAGAACAAAUGUGUAAGUAACUAUGCACGUCUUGACGGUACCUAAUCAGAAAGCCACGGCUAACUACGUG